GGAGAAGCCUGAGCCCCGCGUCCCUGGGCUGCCCCGGGCUGCGCGCCCAAGCUCCAGAGCCGCUGCUGCACCCGGAGGACCUGGAGGUGCCCCGACCGACUGCGCGCCCAUCCGCUGUGAGCUCUUUCUGACACCUGCGAGGACCCCCACCCCCCCACCCCGCGCAACCCCAUCUUGUAGUCCAGCUUGGCUGCCAGCAGGGAUGAAGGAACCUCACUGAUGGUCCGGGCGAGUAUCUUGCGCUGGGGACCAGCACGGUCACCCUGGCACCCAAUGGCAGGAGGAGUCGGGUACAAACGUUCAUUGAUACAAAUGAGUAAAUAAACACGCCCGAGUGAUCGCGGCUACCUUUUCAGCA